UAGAGAUGAGUGGCGAACGGGUGAGUAAUACAUAGGUAACCUGCCCCUGUGCGGGGGAUAACAGGAGGAAACUCCUGCUAAUACCGCAUAGCCAUGAGCACCGCAUGGAGCUCAUGCCAAAUAUCCUUUCGGGGAUAGCGCAGGGAUGGACCUAUGGCGCAUUAGCUGGUUGGCGGGGCAACGGCCCACCAAGGCAACGAUGCGUAGCCGGCCUGAGAGGGCGGACGGCCACAUUGGGACUGAGACACGGCCCAGACUCCUACGGGAGGCAGCAGUAGGGAAUUUUCGGCAAUGGGGGAAACCCUGACCGAGCAACGCCGCGUGAGCGAAGAAGGCCUUCGGGUCGUAAAGCUCUGUUGUAAAGGAAGAACGGCGCAUACAGGAAAUGGUAUGCGAGUGACGGUACUUUACCAGAAAGCCACGGCUAACUACGUGCCAGCAGCCGCGGUAAUACGUAGGUGGCGAGCGUUAUCCGGAAUCAUUGGGCGUAAAGAGGGAGCAGGCGGCCGCAAGGGUCUGUGGUGAAAGACCGAAGCUAAACUUCGGUAAGCCAUGGAAACCGGGCGGCUAGAGUGCGGAAGAGGAUCGUGGAAUUCCAUGUGUAGCGGUGAAAUGCGUAGAUAUAUGGAGGAACACCAGUGGCGAAGGCGACGGUCUGGGCCGCAACUGACGCUCAUUCCCGAAAGCGUGGGGAGCAAAUAGGAUUAGAUACCCUAAGUAGUCC
rnacentral:rRNA from 1 species